rnacentral:rRNA from 1 species
AGAUUGAACGCUGGCGGCAGGCCUAACACAUGCAAGUCGAGCGGCAGCACGGGUACUUGUACCUGGUGGCGAGCGGCGGACGGGUGAGUAAUGCCUAGGAAUCUGCCUGAUAGUGGGGGAUAACGCUCGGAAACGGACGCUAAUACCGCAUACGUCCUACGGGAGAAAGCAGGGGACCUUCGGGCCUUGCGCUAUCAGAUGAGCCUAGGUCGGAUUAGCUAGUUGGUGGGGUAAUGGCUCACCAAGGCGACGAUCCGUAACUGGUCUGAGAGGAUGAUCAGUCACACUGGAACUGAGACACGGUCCAGACUCCUACGGGAGGCAGCAGUGGGAAUAUUGGACAAUGGGCGAAAGCCUGAUCCAGCCAUGCCGCGUGUGUGAAGAAGGUCUUCGGAUUGUAAAGCACUUUUAAGUGGAGGAAGGCAAGUUACCUAAUACGUAUCUGUUUUGACGUUACCGACAGAAUAAGCACCGGCUAACUCUGU